rnacentral:rRNA from 1 species
UACGGGGGGGGCAAGCGUUGUUCGGAAUUACUGGGCGUAAAGGGCUCGUAGGUGGCCAACUAAGUCAGACGUGAAAUCCCUCGGCUUAACCGGGGAACUGCGUCUGAUACUGGAUGGCUUGAGGUUGGGAGAGGGAUGCGGAAUUCCAGGUGUAGCGGUGAAAUGCGUAGAUAUCUGGAGGAACACCGGUGGCGAAGGCGGUUCUCUGGGCAUUACCUGACGCUGAGGAGCGAAAGUGUGGGGAGCGAACAGG